rnacentral:rRNA from 1 species
AAAUCGGUAAUGACCCUAGUAGGUGAACCUGCGCAAGGAUCAUUUACCGAGUUUGUUCGAGCUCCGGCUCGCACUCUCCCACCCUUUGUGAACGUACCUCUGUUGCUUUGGCGGCUCCGGCCGCCAAAGGACCUUCAAACUCCAGUCAGUAAACGCAGACGUCUGAUAAACAAGUUAAUAAACUAAAACUUUCAACAACGGAUCUCUUGGUUCUGGCAUCGAUGAAGAACGCAGCGAAAUGCGAUAAGUAAUGUGAAUUGCAGAAUUCAGUGAAUCAUCGAAUCUUUGAACGCACAUUGCGCCCCUUGGUAUUCCGGGGGGCAUGCCUGUUCGAGCGUCAUUACAACCCUCAAGCUCUGCUUGGAAUUGGGCACCGUCCUCACUGCGGACGCGCCUCAAAGACCUCGGCGGUGGCUGUUCAGCCCUCAAGCGUAGUAAAAUACACCUCGCUUUGGAGCGGUUGGCGUCGCCCGCCGGACGAACCUUCUGAACUUUUCUCAAGGUUGACCUCGGAUCAGGUAGGGAUACCCGCUGAACUUAAGCAUAUCAAUAACCGGAGGAAACGAACGAACGAAGGUACAUAAACUUAUGACCCUAUCCUC